AGUCUUAUAUUCAAUAAUGAUAUAAAAUUGCAAAUUUUAAGGUGUAUUUAUACUAAGGCUU
rnacentral:tRNA from 1 species